AUAUACAUCGGCAGCACACGUACUAAAAUUGGAACAAUACAGAGAUUAGCAUGGCCUCUGCGCAAGGACGACAGGCACAUUUGUCAAGUAUAUCUGCCUAAG
rfam:Myotis lucifugus cont2.72055, whole genome shotgun sequence.